UACAGAGGUCUCAAGCGUUGUUCGGAUUCAUUGGGCGUAAAGGGUGCGUAGGCGGCGGGGUAAGUCUGGUGUGAAAUCUCGGGGCUCAACCCCGAAACUGCACUUGAUACUGCCUUGCUCGAGUACUGGAGAGGAGAUUGGAAUUUACGGUGUAGCAGUGAAAUGCGUAGAUAUCGUAAGGAAGACCAGUGGCGAAGGCGAAUCUCUGGACAGUUACUGACACUGAGGCACGAAGGCCAGGGGAGCAAACAGG
rnacentral:rRNA from 1 species